GGGGUUGCAGCUCAGCGGUAGAACGCUCGCCUAGCAGGUGCGAGGCCCUGGGUUCAAUCCUCAGCACCUCA
rnacentral:tRNA from 1 species